AUUGAACGCUGGCGGCAUGCCUUACACAUGCAAGUCGAACGGCAGCACGGGAGCAAUCCUGGUGGCGAGUGGCGAACGGGUGAGUAAAGUAUCGGAACGUGCCCAGGCGUGGGGGAUAACGUCGCGAAAGUUACGCUAAUACCGCAUACGAUCUAUGUAAGAAAGCGGGGGAUCGCAAGACCUCGCGCGCUUGGAGCGGGCGAUAUCAGAUUAGGUAGUUGGUGGGGUAAAGGCUCACCAAGCCGACGAUCUGUAGCUGGUCUGAGAGGACGACCAGCCACACUGGGACUGAGACACGGCCCAGACUCCUACGGGAGGCAGCAGUGGGGAAUUUUGGACAAUGGGCGAAAGCCUGAUCCAGCCAUGCCGCGUGCAGGAUGAAGGCCUUCGGGUUGUAAACUGCUUUUGUACGGAACGAAAAGGUUUGGCCUAAUAAGCUGAGCUCAUGACGGUACCGUAAGAAUAAGCACCGGCUAACUACGUGCCAGCCGCCGCCGUAA
rnacentral:rRNA from 1 species